UGCCAGCCGCCGCGGUAAUACUGAAGGUGCAAGCGUUAAUCGGAAUCACUGGGCGUAAAGCGCUCGUAGGUGGCUGUUGUAAGUCAGAUGUGAAAGCCCGCGGCUCAACCGUGGAAUUGCAUUUGAUACUGCAUCGCUAGAGUAUAUGAGAGGGAAGUGGAAUUUCUGGUGUAGGAGUGAAAUCCGUAGAGAUCAGAAGGAACACCGGUGGCGAAGGCGACUUCCUGGACUAUUACUGACACUGAGGAGCGACAGCGGGGGCAGCAGUAAGGAUUAGGCA
rnacentral:rRNA from 1 species